rnacentral:rRNA from 1 species
GUGGGUGCCAUGGUUGUCGUCAGCUUGUGUCGUGAGAUAUUGGGUUAAGUCCCGCAACGAGCGCAACCCCUAUUACUAGUAGCCAGCGGUUCGGCCGGGCACUCUAGUGAGACUGCCGGGGAUAACCCGGAGGAAGGUGGGGAUGACGUCAAAUCAUCAUGCCCCUUACGAUUUGGGCUACACACGUGCUACAAUGGCGUAAACAAAGGGAAGCGACCCCGCGAGGGUGAGCAAAUCUCAAAAAUAACGUCUCAGUUCGGAUUGUAGUCUGCAACUCGACUACAUGAAGCUGGAAUCGCUAGUAAUCGCAGAUCAGAAUGCUGCGGUGAAUACGUUCCCGGGUCUUGUACACACCGCCCGUCACACCAUGGGAGUCAGUAAUGCCCGAAGUCAGUGACCUAACCGCAAGGAAGGAGCUGCCGAAGGCAGG